rnacentral:ncRNA from 1 species
UAAGGCUAAAUAUCGACGCGAAAUCGAUAGCAAACAAGUACCGUGAGGGAAAGUUGCAAAGAACUUUGAAGAGAGAGUUCAAGAGAACGUGAAAUCGCUGAAGUGGAACCGGAGAGAGUUAACAUAACUUGGUAGCUAUAUCCUCUAAAGUCGCUUAACUGUGGCUCUGGGGGGUGGACGCUACCUGUUGUUGCACUGACUGCGUUGAUUGUGCUUUCCGAACAGUAUAGUGUUGCCCACUUUGUGGUGUCUUGCUUUCUGGGAGGUUUGUCAUAAUUAACGUAAAGCCAAUUCCCUUUGGAGUCAGUGUGAAAGUUAACCACCUUUCCGACCCGUCUUGAAACACGGACCGAGGAGUGUAAUUUAUACGCGAGUCAAGGGGUGGUGAAAACCCUAGGGGCGGAAUGAAAGUAAAGGCCGGUUAACCGGUUGACAUGGGAUCCGCUCUUCGGAGCGGCGCACCAUGGCCCUGUCUUGUCUGCUUGCAGAUGGGCAGCGGUAGAGCGUAUAGUUUAGCGACCCGAAAGAUGGUGAACUAUGCUUGAGCAGGACGAAGCCAGAGGAAACUCUGGUGGAAGUCCGUAUCGGUUCUGACGUGCAAAUCGAUCGAUAGACUUGGGUAUAGGGGCGAAAGACUAAUCGAACCGUCUAGUAGCUGGUUCCCUCCGAAGUUUCCCCCAGGAUAGCUGGAGUAGUGGUGCGUGGUUAUAUCCGGUAAAGCGAAUGAUUAGAGGACUUGGGGGCGAAACGAUCUCAACCUAUUCUCAAACUUUCAAUGGGUAUGAUGUCUCGGUUUCUUUAUUGAACUGUUGACAUGAACGUGUGCUCCAAGUGGGCCAUUUUUGGUAAGCAGAACUGGCGCUGUGGGAUGAACCAAACGCUGGGUUAAGGUGCCUAACUUUUCUCUCAUGAGACCCCAUAAAAGGCGUUGGUUGAUAUAGACAGCAGGACGGUGGCCAUGGAAGUCGGUACCCGCUAAGGAGUGUGUAACAACUCACCUGCCGAAUCAACUGCCCU